UGAUAAACGUGGUGUUAUGGCUAUACCACGAUCACUACAGGACGUAUUCCCUGGUUCACCUAUAGGUGUUGAUUUUGCUAUUACAUUACCUGACGGUUCAAGUACAUUUAUGUUUAGAGGUAAUAGUGUGUGGAAGUUUAAUGGUUAUGUUUUAGAUGAGAAAUAUCCUACUAUGUUUAAUGUACAGGAUUUACCUGAAUCUCCUAUAGGCGUCUUCUCUUCUGUAGACAACAAUAAUAAUAUAAUAUAUAUGUUUGGAAUGCAGAGAUUUUGGCGCUGGGAUCCUGAGAGAAUGUACGCUGAUAGAAGUAUUAUAUCUUAUGCAUCUAAAGGUUAUUGGUUGCUUGAUCUAUCUAGCUUUGGUCUAGUUACAACAUGGAAUGAUGGUGCUGUUUAUUUCAUAAAAUCUGACAGUCAUACGGUUAUGUUGGGUAAAACAGUAGCAGAUGGAUAUCCGAAAAAGGGAGUUCCGGUCUGGGUACAAAAUGGUUGCCACAGCAGCUCGUCCAAAUUAACAGCAUAUGUAUCCCAGUUAUUGAUGAUAGUGAUAUCCUUAAUUACAUAUCAGCUCACAUGAUUUAAUUCAGUGUUUGGUAUACCAAAGAUCUUUCAACCAAGAAGGGGAGAAAACUCUCAACAAUUUAUACGUUUCAUAUGUUUUUAGUUAGCCUUGUGUAUGUCAUGUUGGAUUGGAUCUCGCUCACUUUCAUCGGCACCAUGGGAUCGACGAGCGAGAGUAUACUUGAAUGUCAAGAAGUGUCUGCCAUUUUGAAUAAAGAGGUAUCAUUCACCAUUCAUUUAUAGCCGUGACUUCAUUGAACCCGUCCAAUGAUGAAACAAAAAUAAUCCAGAUCAAUCGAAAAACGUGUCUUAACUUUUCAAUGUUCAGAUCAGUUGAUCUACGACGAGGACCAUUUUAUACGCAUAUGUAGUCUCAACAGUGAUUAUUGGCGAUUUCACACCAGGGAAUUAUUGCUAGCUGUGCUGUGAUGAUAUUGUAAAAAUAUAAGCUGAAUCUUGGUAAUCAUAAUUUAUUCCCACCUAUAAUCAUAAUAGACUAUUCCAUGUGCAUCCCGGCAUUGGAGGACUUCAAGAUGCAUUAAGACCCUAAUCCUAUGGAUUGGUUAUUAUCUUUUGUAUGUUCGUUGUAGGAAAUCCGAUGUAAGUACUUUUAAUGUAAAUAAACAGUAAUAAUAGCGCGCUUUAUUGACGUAAGAUCAGAAAUGGUCUAAAUUAAUAAGUUAGUGAGAAACUGAAAAAUAAGAAAAGAAAAUUCACCGCAGUACACACUAAUUUGUCUUGUUUAAAGCCUCGUCAGGAAAAACAACAUACCCGAGAGUGAAAAGGACCUUUAUCCAUGCUUCUUAAUUAAGAGUACCGUAUCCAAGAUUUUCGAGCUUUUAAAAAUUUCUUGAUAUACCAAAGCACAAUUAGAGCACCCGUUCGACCCUCUAAACGUAUUUUUUUUUAUCUGAAAGUAAUGACGAGGGAAUAUCAACUUAUUAACUCUAAUUUCCGAAUAAGUCAUAAAAAAUCAAACAAUUAUUACGAGUUGUCAACCGCUCAACUUGGCGUUGCUAUCUUAGCACGCGCAUUACUCUCGCGUUAUUAGACAACUCCACUAUUCGACCACUCUUUGUUUUGCAUGUCUGAUAAUAAUGGUGGUCGUGUGAAAAUUUGUAGAUCAUCAAAACGGUUCCCUUAAUGUUUUUUGUAUCUUUAAAUUCAAUAGUCUACCAUGUGGAUAAAUUUCAGUUACAAUUUCGUUUUGUUUGUUUCUGAACGUUAUAACAUAUUGUGGGAGAACGAUAGAUCGGGGAUGGUCCUGCACAUAUGACGUCAUAUGUGGAUUGCGCGUUAGGGUUAAGGUAAGGGUUAGGCUUUGCCCAAGGUUAUGGUUGGGUUAGCAUUAGCCCUGUUUCCAUCUCGAGACUUGACGAAAUCUGCAGGUCCUAACCCGAACCCUAACCCACAAUCAACAUAUGACGUCAUAUGUGCUAAAAUGUGCAGGACCGUCGCCGAUCUAGCCUUCUCCCACAUACAUGGUGGUGCAGCGUCAAAUAGGACAAACUGAUCCGUGUUGAUUUUUAAUCAUAUUGCUAUAGCGAACUAUCAUAAUUCUAUAAAAAAAAAUCCCAAGGCCUGUUUUUGAAUUAGUGAAUUUACUUGAUUAAACGUUGUUUCUUUUUUGUAUAAUAUUAUCAUCACAAUCCCAACAUGCUCAAAUAUACAACUCUAAUGUAUUUAUAGAACUUAAUAGUCUUGUAAUAUUUUUAUGUUGUUUAGAUUUGCUUUUUAAAAAAAAACACUAUGUACAUUCCAGUAUUGAUUUUUAAAUUGUAUGUAGUAAAUAUCAUUGUAACAGAA